UACGGAGGAUGCAAGCGUUAUCCGGAAUUAUUGGGCGUAAAGCGUCCGUAGGUGGUUAUGCAAGUCUGCCGUUAAAGAAUGGAGCUUAACUCCAUAGGAGCGGUGGAAACUGCAAGACUAGAGUACAGUAGGGGUAGCAGGAAUUCCCAGUGUAGCGGUGAAAUGCGUAGAUAUUGGGAAGAACAUCGGUGGCGAAAGCGUGCUACUGGGCUGAAACUGACACUGAGGGACGAAAGCUAGGGUAGCGAAAGGGAUUAGAUACCCCUGUAGUCCUAGCCGUAAACGAUGGAUACUAGGCGUGGCUUGUAUCGACCCGAGCCGUGCCGAAGCUAACGCGUUAAGUAUCCCGCCUGGGGAGUACGCACGCAAGUGUGAA
rnacentral:rRNA from 1 species